UGUUCCUUCCUUGCAUGCGCUACAAGGCGGUCCUGCAAUGUAUCGUAAAUAUGGGACUUCUGCGUGGACUCCUGGCUCCGGUGGUUACAGACACCCUCCAGGAAACGAGCAGUCUAUACGGACGGGUGGUGGUCACGAAGUAUACCUACAGUGGGAUCCUGGACACAGUGGCAUCUACGGGAAUGAAGGAGCGGAAGAAGGAAGGAUGAAGGAAGUGCUGCGACUGGCACGUACGGUCCCGAUCGACAAUAUUGCCACGUAUCGUCUUUUGGGGCGACCACACGCAGCAGCAACAACAGGCAACGCGGCGUCGAACGACGGGCUGGGGCCCGCGACAAGUCGCGCUACAUGGCAUGCGAUCCUUCUGAAACCAUCUGCUCCUUCGCUCACAUGAAUCUCAAGGACAGGCCGACGACCUCGGAGAGGCUUCUGUAUUUCCUUCUCUCCACCGACGCGCGCUUUCUACAAUGUUCGCCGCUGUGCAUACAAGCUUGCGUUCGUCCAUGGCUCGAAGAUCUUCGAAAUCCACGAAACGAACUCACCACCUGCUCACAUACGUAGACGCGAGCUACACAACGGUCAGACCGGUCGGCGCCUCCUGAGAAACGAACGCGGGCGAAUCCACCGGUUAAAUGAGCCUCAGCCAAUCAUGGUCGAGAAAGGUCACGUGGGGGACCGGAGCCAAUGGAAAGUAAAUAGCCGGAAUUUGGCGGGAAAUGCCAGCAGCGACACUAUUUUCGCGGCGGCGAAACCGGCUUACUGUGCCUCCUCUGGUGGAGUCACUAAAUAAGCUGAGCUCCCAGUCGGAGCAUUAUUAUUCCUUUACCUUAGUUCUGUCCAAGAGCUACCGCUCUUGUGUUAGCCAGCUAAGCAGCUGAAUAAAGUGUUCGCCGAUUGUU